rnacentral:rRNA from 1 species
AGUGAACGCUGGCGGCAGGCCUAACACAUGCAAGUCGAACGGCAGCACAGCAGUAGCAAUACUGUGGGUGGCGAGUGGCGGACGGGUGAGGAAUACAUCGGAAUCUGCCUUAUCGUGGGGGAUAACGUAGGGAAACUUACGCUAAUACCGCAUACGACCUACGGGUGAAAGCGGAGGACCUUCGGGCUUCGCACGAUAAGAUGAGCCGAUGUCGGAUUAGCUAGUUGGCGGGGUAAUGGCCCACCAAGGCGACGAUCCGCAGCUGGUCUGAGAGGAUGAGCAGCCACACUGGAACUGAGACACGGUCCAGACUCCUACGGGAGGCAGAAGUGGGGAAUUUUGGACCAUGGGCGCAAGCCUGAUCCAGCCAUGCCGCGUGCAGGAUGAAGGCCUUCGGGUUGUAAACUGCUUUUGUACGGAACGAAAAGACUCUGGUUAAUACCUGGGGUCCAUGACGGUACCGUAAGAAUAAGCACCGGCUAACUACGUGCCAGCCGCCGCAGUAACAC